AUUUAGCUGACGAGUCCCAAAUAGGACGAAACGCGCGUCCUGGAU
rfam:Schistosoma rodhaini strain Burundi genome assembly, scaffold: SROB_scaffold0009551